rnacentral:rRNA from 1 species
UACAUAGGGGGCGAGCGUUAUCCGGAAUUAUUGGGCGUAAAGCGUGCGUAGGCGGUUUAUUAAGUCUGGUGUAAAAUCCCACAGCUUAACUGUGGCUGGCAUUGGAAACUGGUAAACUUGAGUACGGUAGAGGUAAGUGGAAUUCCAAGUGGAGCGGUGGAAUGCGUAGAUAUUUGGAGGAACACCAGUGGCGAAGGCGGCUUACUGGGCCGGAACUGACGCUGAGGCACGAAAGCGUGGGGAGC